rnacentral:rRNA from 1 species
CUACGGGAGGCAGCAGUGGGGAAUUUUGGACAAUGGGCGCAAGCCUGAUCCAGCAAUGCCGCGUGCAGGAUGAAGGCCUUCGGGUUGUAAACUGCUUUUGUACGGAGCGAAAAGGCUCUCUCUAAUACAGGGAGUUCAUGACGGUACCGUAAGAAUAAGCACCGGCUAACUACGUGCCAGCAGCCGCGGUAAUACGUAGGGUGCAAGCGUUAAUCGGAAUUACUGGGCGUAAAGCGUGCGCAGGCGGUUAUGUAAGACAGAGGUGAAAUCCCCGGGCUCAACCUGGGAACUGCCUUUGUGACUGAAUAGCUAGAGUACGGCAGAGGGGGAUGGAAUUCCGCGUGUAGCAGUGAAAUGCGUAGAUAUGCGGAGGAACACCGAUGGCGAAGGCAAUCCCCUGGGCCUGUACUGACGCUCAUGCACGAAAGCGUGGGGAGCAAACAGGAUUAGAAACCCCAGUAGUCC